rnacentral:rRNA from 1 species
AUUGAACGCUGGCGGCAGGCCUAAUACAUGCAAGUCGAACGAUUGGCGGACGGGUGAGUAAUGUAUGGGAACCUGCCCGAUGGAGGGGGUUAACUACUGGAAACGGUAGCUAAACCCGCAUACCAUCGGAUGUGCCCAGAUGGGAUUAGCUAGUAGGGGGGGUAAAGGCUCACCUAGGCAAAGAUCCCUAGCUGGUCUGAGAGGGUGACGGGCCAAACUGGAACGGAGACACGGUCCAAACUCCUACGGGAGGCAGCAGAGGGGAAUAUUGCACAAUGGGCGAAAGCCUGACGCAGCCAUGCCGCGUGUAUAAAGAAGGCCUCCGGGUUGUAAGGUACUUUCAGCGGGGAGGCGUUACCCGCAGAAGAAGCACCGGCUAACUCCGUGCCAGCAGCCGCGGUAAUUC